rnacentral:rRNA from 1 species
UUGGAGGGCAAGUCUGGUGCCAGCAGCCGCGGUAAUUCCAGCUCCAAUAGCGUAUAUUAAAGUUGUUGCAGUUAAAAAGCUCGUAGUUGAAUUUCGGGAUCAGACUGUCGGUCGUGCCUCGGUACGCACUGGCAUUAUUGGUUCCUACCUUCUGAAGAACCGCGAUGUCAUUAAUUUGGUGUCGCGGGGAAUCAGGACUGUUACUUGAAAAAUUGAGUGUUUAAAGCAGGCUUACGCUGAAUACAUUAGCAUGGAAUAUGAAA